rnacentral:rRNA from 1 species
UACGUAGGGGGCGAGCGUUGUCCGGAAUCAUUGGGCGUAAAGCGCGUGUAGGCGGUUCGGUAAGUCCGCUGUGAAAGUCGGGGGCUCAACCCUCGGAAGCCGGUGGAUACUGUCGGGCUAGAGUACGGAAGAGGCGAGUGGAAUUCCUGGUGUAGCGGUGAAAUGCGCAGAUAUCAGGAGGAACACCAAUUGCGAAGGCAGCUCGCUGGGACGUUACUGACGCUGAGACGCGAAAGCGUGGGGAGCAAACAGG